UACGUAGGGGGCAAGCGUUGUCCGGAAUUAUUGGGCGUAAAGCGCGCGCAGGCGGCUUUGUAAGUCUAGUGUUUAAUCUCGGAGCUCAACUCCGAUUCGCACCGGAAACUGCAAGGCUUGAGUACAGAAGAGGAAAGUGGAAUUCCACGUGUAGCGGUGAAAUGCGUAGAGAUGUGGAGGAACACCGGUGGCGAAGGCGGCGUUCUGGACUGUAACUGACACUGAUGAACGAAAGCCAGGGGAGCAAACGGG
rnacentral:rRNA from 1 species